GCGGGAUUGGCUCAGUCGGUAGAGCGUCAGUCUCAUAAUCUGAAGGUCGACAGUUCGAUCCUGUCAUUCCGCA